rnacentral:rRNA from 1 species
CAGCCGCCGCGGUAAUACGUAGGGUGCGAGCGUUAAUCGGAUUUACUGGGCGUAAAGCGUGCGCAGGCGGCCCGUUAAGACAGGUGUGAAAUCCCUGGGCUCAACCUAGGAAUUGCGCUUGUGACUGGCGGGCUCGAGUACGGUAGAGGGGGGUGGAAUUCCUGGUGUAGCAGUGAAAUGCGUAGAGAUCAGGAGGAACACCGAUGGCGAAGGCAGCCCCCUGGGCCUGUACUGACGCUCAUGCACGAAAGCGUGGGGAGCAAACAGGAUUAGAUACCCUGGUAGUCCACGCCCUAAACGAUGGGUACUAGCCGUUUGGUGCGCGAUAGCGCUGAGUGGCGAAGCUAACGCGUGAAGUACACCGCCUGGGGAGUACGGCCGCAAGGUUGAAACUUAAAGGAAUUGGCGGG